rnacentral:ribozyme from 1 species
GCUGACCUUAGCUGCUACCUUGACGUGGUGGUCGGGCUUGCCUGUCGUGAUGACCCAACUGAACAUAUGUUCCUGUAGGUUCUAUCAUGCCAGGCAGGUCGAUUGGAGAACGGUAAGGCUAAAAGCAGC